GAUGAACGCUAGCGGGAGGCUUAAUACAUGCAAGUCGUGCGGUAAGGAAUCUUCGGAUUCCCUAGAGCGGCGUACGGGUGAGUAACACGUAUGUAAUCUGCCCCUAUCUGGGAGAUAGCCCUUCGAAAGGAGGAUUAAUAUCCCAUAAUAUAUUUGGAUGGCAUCAUUUGAAUAUUAACGCUCCGGCGGAUAGGGAUGAGCAUGCGUUCUAUUAGUUAGUUGGUGAGGUAACGGCUCACCAAGACUUCGAUAGAUAGCUGGUCUGAGAGGAUGAUCAGCCACACGGGCACUGAGACACGGGCCCGACUCCUACGGGAGGCAGCAGUAGGGAAUAUUGGGCAAUGGAGGCAACUCUGACCCAGCCAUCCCGCGUGCAGGAUGAAGGAUCUAUGGUUCGUAAACUGCUUUUGUUAGGGAAGAAAAAGACUCAUUUAUGAGUAACUGACGGUACCUAACGAAUAAGCACCGGCUAACUCCGUGCCAGCCGCCGCAGUAAUAC
rnacentral:rRNA from 1 species